rnacentral:rRNA from 1 species
UGCAAGUCGACGCUUCUUUUCCCACCGGAGCUUGCUCCACCGGGAAAAGAGGAGUGGCGAACGGGUGAGUAACACGUGGGUAACCUGCCCAUCAGAAGGGGAUAACACUUGGAAACAGGUGCUAAUACCGUAUAACAAUCGAAACCGCAUGGUUUCGUUUUGAAAGGCGCUUUACGGUGCCGCUGAUGGAUGGACCCGCGGUGCAUUAGCUAGUUGGUGAGGUAACGGCUCACCAAGGCCACGAUGCAUAGCCGACCUGAGAGGGUGAUCGGCCACAUUGGGACUGAGACACGGCCCAAACUCCUACGGGAGGCAGCAGUAGGGAAUCUUCGGCAAUGGACGAAAGUCUGACCGAGCAACGCCGCGUGAGUGAAGAAGGUUUUCGGAUCGUAAAACUCUGUUGUUAGAGAAGAACAAGGGUGAGAGUAACUGUUCACCCCUUGACGGUAUCUAACCAGAAAGCCACGGCUAACUACGUGCCAGCAGCCGCGGUAAUACGUAGGUGGCAAGCGUUGUCCGGAUUUAUUGGGCGUAAAGCGAGCGCAGGCGGUUUCUUAAGUCUGAUGUGAAAGCCCCCGGCUCAACCGGGGAGGGUCAUUGGAAACUGGGAGACUUGAGUGCAGAAGAGGAGAGUGGAAUUCCAUGUGUAGCGGUGAAAUGCGUAGAUAUAUGGAGGAACACCAGUGGCGAAGGCGGCUCUCUGGUCUGUAACUGACGCUGAGGCUCGAAAGCGUGGGGAGCAAACAGGAUUAGAUACCCUGGUAGUCCACGCCGUAAACGAUGAGUGCUAAGUGUUGGAGGGUUUCCGCCCUUCAGUGCUGCAGCUAACGCAUUAAGCACUCCGCCUGGGGAGUACGACCGCAAGGUUGAAACUCAAAGGAAUUGACGGGGGCCCGCACAAGCGGUGGAGCAUGUGGUUUAAUUCGAAGCAACGCGAAGAACCUUACCAGGUCUUGACAUCCUUUGACCACUCUAGAGAUAGAGCUUCCCCUUCGGGGGCAAAGUGACAGGUGGUGCAUGGUUGUCGUCAGCUCGUGUCGUGAGAUGUUGGGUUAAGUCCCGCAACGAGCGCAACCCUUAUUGUUAGUUGCCAUCAUUUAGUUGGGCACUCUAGCAAGACUGCCGGUGACAAACCGGA